rnacentral:misc_RNA from 1 species
AUAUUUAGAUUAUUUAUUUUUAUUUCGAAUGAAAUAAAGAAUAGUAUCAAUAAAAUUUGAAGGUGUAUAAAAAUAUUUGGUAUUUUUAAUGAUCCUUCCGCAGGUUCACCUACGGAAA